CCUACGGGAGGCAGCAGUAAGGAAUAUUGGUCAAUGGAGGCAACUCUGAACCAGCCAUGCCGCGUGCAGGAAGACGGCCCUAUGGGUUGUAAACUGCUUUUGAACUAGAGAAAACCUUGGUACGUGUACCGAGUUGAUAGUAUAGUUAGAAUAAGCAUCGGCUAACUUCGUGCCAGCAGCCGCGGUAAGACGAAGGAUGCAAGCGUUAUCCGGAUUCAUUGGGUUUAAAGGGUGCGUAGGCGGACUGAUAAGUCAGUGGUGAAAUCUCUCAGCUUAACUGAGAAACUGCCAUUGAUACUGUUAGUCUAGAGUACAGAUGAUGUGGGCGGAAUAUGACAUGUAGUGGUGAAAUACUUAGAUAUGUCAUAGAACACCGAUUGCGAAGGCAGCUCACAAAACUGUAACUGACGCUGAGGCACGAAAGUGGNGGAGUACAACAGAUAGAUACCUACGUAGUCGCGACCGUAACGAUAGAUUACUCGUUGUUGGUCG
rnacentral:rRNA from 1 species